CACACACAACAGGAAUGAAGUAAUUUGAAUUUGAGGGAGCUGCAAAGUGUAAGCUUUCAGUCAUUACCUUACAGCCAAGUAAUAUGACUAUUAUUCAGAUGAGCAGAACGGUCUUUUGUGUGAGACAAUUUAUUAGCUAGUUUUGUGCAAUACACUGUGAAGGUCAGUUGUACAGUCAAGACUUUGAUUAAAGAAUAGACUCUGAUCUUCUCAUAUGUAGGCAUGAAAGGUUAUGGUCAUUAUAAUCAUUUUUCUUCUCCAUUCUGUCCAUAAACCCUCUGUUUGUCUUUUGACAAAUUUUGAUGGGUAUCUUUUUAAAUUACUUUAUCUUCUGGGAGUGGGAUUCCCUCUAGGGUUCUGUAGUCUUAAAACACCAACAUAUAAUACACAAAUGUAAGGACAAAAGACGCAUUUGAUUUAGUUUAAAACUGAGCUGAUUUGAGUUUUGAAGGGAGGGCUGAAGCUGAUUCUAAUGACUUCUUAAAUAAUGACUGUGUGAUUUUGGAAGAUUACAGUCACAAACUCAGCUGACUGUAUACCUACCUGUCUAGAAAUGACCUACCCAGGAACAUGUACAAAUAAAAUUAGACCCAACAAUAUAUCACGCUUUCAAAAGAGUGUCAUGAAGUUUGAGGCGUGAUCAUUUUCAAGGCGAAUUCCCAAAAGCUUCAAUACUGAUUGAUUCUGCAGAACCUUGGUAUUACUUUCAGUGGCCUUUUUUUGUGAGACAAUCCCGACAUUUCUUACUUUCUACAAAUUCUUCAUGUGGUAAUUGCUGCACACUUAUGGGCAAACUAUUGUUCAGGUCAGUUUAAGGGAAAAAGUCGAUUUAACCAGCUGGUUAGGUUUAGGUAAACUUCAUGGUCUGUGUGAUCUGUGACAGGACACAAACUUAACCUCACUUCAAUCUGUAGGAAAAUUGGGCUCCUGCAGUGAUAGAUUUUCAGAGAAAAUGAUGUACUGUGUCAUUAGUAGAGAGAACUAUUCUGAUCACCUUGUCGUACCACUCCACUCCUCUCUCAGAACUGUUCCGGAACAGAUCUAGGUCAGCUGUCCUGUGUGGAGUGUAGUGCAUAACCCAACAGACUUUUUCCGUCUUUCACUCUGAAGCAACGUGUUUUCCAAGUUACAAACUACAAGGGUGCUGUCAUCGAGGGUGCCGCCUGUGGCCCUGAGUGCCCUACAUGCUUAUUUUUGGCCCACUGUCUGUAUUUAAAUGGAUAAACCAAGGUCCUCUCAUACGUCAGGACAUCAAGGCAGAAACACACACGAGCACACACACACACACACACACACACAAACUGCAUCAUCUAGCAGCCGCAUAGAUUAGACUGUUUUAAUCAAGUUUGUUUGAUGAGAGCACAGCUUGACUGGGACAUGCAGCUGGCAGCAGACGACAGAAGAAUUGAAUUAGUCCCGCUGUGGACAAUACAGUAAACCUCAGUGGAGAUUUUUUGCUAAGAAUUUCACAAACAGGCUCGUCUAUGACUGUAUGAUCUUAUGGUUUAACACCCUGCUGAGCACUGACCAUAAUAACGUACAUCUGCAGUGUGAGGGUAUUGGAGUCCAGCUGCGGGUGCAAGUGACAAGCCUAUUCCCACCUCCUCUCUCAGACAGCGGGGAAGCCAGCAGGGUGCAUGCAGGAUCUGUACUCUGUCACAACAGCGUAUUCAGUAUUCUAUGACUCAAGCUUUUUGAACCUUUUCUGACCUUUCAUGUUUCAUUAAGAAGUCAUAGCAGCGUCCAGCUCGUCAAACUGAACAAAAUGUUCAAGCUCCCUGAAAGCUUCAACUGUGAUUUGUCAAAUGUCUUUUUCUUUUGAAACUUCACUUUCAAAAAGAAUAGAGCUUUGAAACAAUGACGCAGGGGGUAGCUGCAUUUAUAGGUUAAUGGUAUGCAAUCAAAGCUAGCAAAGUCUCUAUGAAUGUGUUUUGAUGUAUGAAAGGCCAAUUCUAUGAGCCUGAAAGCCAUCAACCCGACUGUGACAGAUUUAAAUAGCAUUAUUACCCCCGACAGAUAUUGAUGUAGGUUAACUCAGGACUCUAACUGUCUCUUAGGUAACAGGUAUAUCUCAUCCACUGAAGUCAGAUUAAGUCCACUCAGUUUGGUUGAUGAUCUCUUUGUGACGCAGCUUGCUCGGCCUAAUCAGUUGUUUUUGUUCUGGCAGAAGGGACUCUACCUCCCCAGCUCAUGUCCAUUAACCAUAAUUAACAGAGCAGAGGGCUGCAGAUGAGGCAGAGCGGCUCUGUAUGGAGACAGAAGUGUGGGAUGCACGAGUGGAGCUUCUCUCUCAUGAUUUGAAGUAUGAAGAAAAAUGUUAGAAAACAAUCUUUCCACCUCCUUUAAGCAGAAACGUUUAGAAAGUUUGUGAAUAAUGAGCAUCAUGCUGAUUUGAGCAAAAAAUUACAUGCUAAUUUGACCUUUUGUAUUUUUUUUGUUCCAAAGACACUGUGUUGCGACACCAGCGUUGUUAAGAGCAGCUUUUGUCGAAAUUCCAAUCAGGGAACUAUUCAAUUGUGAAAAGUAUUGUGGAGAACUUAUUUUCUCUCUUUGAUAUCAAAUUGCUCGAACACACUUGACUGAAGAAUAGCUUUGUGAAAAACCUACCUGAAAGAUUUCGAAGCUGGCCUUAACAGUCAAAUGAAAAAGAAAAAAAUUAACAACUCCAGAACUAACUAAAUAUUUGUUAGCAAUACAUAAGUGUCAGUCUGCCGUUGGGAAACAGUGCACAGUUCACAACUUACAAGCUAACCACUCAUACAAGUGUGUUAUAAACUUAUCGUCUAUUUGCCCGUGUUACUGUGAAGAUGAUACAACAUGUGAAUGAGACAUUUUAAGAGGUUUUUUUUGGAUUAAAUUCACUUAGAAGCUGUGGUAGUUCUAGCUAUGUGUGAAGAGAUCAUUAAUGAUAUUUUAAAGCUGCAGCGCAAACCUUUAGUCAGUAACGGAUAUAGACUUAUAAACAUUAAGAAAUCCCUCUCAUGGGAAUAGUAUGCAAUUUUGAUUAUCAUAGCUGGUAUAUUUGGAUGCUAAAUUAAAAGUGGGAUAUGGAAUUGGUUCAGCUUUUGCAUUAUAUCGUGCAUGUAAUCAAUGUCAGUCAAUCCUUUCAUCCCAGGAUGCUCAAUUUCCCCCUUUAAUUGGAACUUAAUGUCCAUAGGAAAUGCCAAUGAGGAUGAGGACUGUAAUUUCCCAGUGCCACACUACAUUCAUUACCACUGCUUGGUAAACAAUGGCUUCCAUUGUUUCCAUCCUCGGUCUCAGCCCACAACUUCAGAACUGAUCUUAUUCCAUUUGCAUUAUUAUAAGAAGCAAUUACCAGUGCUAUAACAGAACCCUCUCCAGGAAAAUCCUAUAUAGAUUACUAAUUAGUGCUUAAUGAAAACGUAACCAGCCAUUGAUUGGGGUGUUAAAUUACUCUUCUGAUUAUGCUUUCUGCAUAUGUAUAGACAAUCUUGUUUUUUUGAAAAUGGUGAUGAGCUCUCAGGGAGCAGGCGGGGAGAGUCCCAUGAUUUUCUUGUGUGGUUUUCUGCUCCAGUUCCAGCAGAGAUGUGUGUUAUGUAAUGUGGCCCGCUGCAUCAUGUGAACUAGUCUGUGCUGGACAGAUCUGCUGCUCUUCGCUGUGACGUGUGUACAUGUA